GCUCCCUUUUCAUCUUCCGAUGUGCUUCUCUUUGCCUCUCCCGCAGCAAAUAAGAGGUUCCCGGAGCCUCCACUGCGCUCAGUAGAGCAAACUGCCCCCAAAGAGGUGUCUUGGGAAAGAGGACCGUCCCCCCGAAGCCCCUUGGGAAAACUGCCUUCCCUUUCACAGUGAAACAGCGUAACCGUGGGUACCCCGUGCACUUCGAAGACCUGUACGAAUUAAAGCCUCACCGGAGUCAGAGCGCUGGAGAGGCGUCUGACCCAGGCCGGACCCGGACCCCCAAAGGCCACCGGCGCAGCUCGGCGCAGCUCGGGAAGGAAAGACGAGCCCGACCCCGGGCCGCAGCGCAGGCGUCAACGGACCAGAGCCCAGGAGGCAGCCCUCGGGUGAAGGGACACCAUGCCAGGCAGGCCCGCUCCCAACCCCAGGAGGGUCCGCGGCCAGGCUGCUUUCUCCGGAGGAGGCGCCUGUUAACCCCGCACACAUCCGUGCCUGUUUGACCCUCAAGUCCUUGCAACAAAUGAUGCGAUUAAACGCAGACAUCCACAUCGCAAAAAGAGAUCCUGCGUCAUGUCGUGUCUAAAAAUUAAUUUCUAGAUUUAAAGGUGAAAGCUAAAGGAGUAAAGUUUUCAAGGAAAACGGGGAAAAAUCUGCUUGAUUUAGGAGCAGGUUAAGGCUUCUUGGCAGUAACCCUAAGAGAAUAAAUAGAGAAAUUAGAGGUCA
rnacentral:lncRNA from 1 species